rnacentral:rRNA from 1 species
UUUGGUUAAGUUAGAAAGGGCGCACGGUGGAUGCCUUGACACUAGGAGUCGAUGAAGGACGGGACUAACGCCGAUAUGCUUCGGGGAGCUGUAAGUAAGCUUUGAUCCGAAGAUUUCCGAAUGGGGAAACCCACCAUACGUAAUGGUAUGGUAUCCUUAUCUGAAUACAUAGGGUAAGGAAGACAGACCCAGGGAACUGAAACAUCUAAGUACCUGGAGGAAGAGAAAGCAAAUGCGAUUUCCUGAGUAGCGGCGAGCGAAACGGAACAUAGCCCAAACCAAGAGGCUUGCCUCUUGGGGUUGUAGGACAUUCUAUACGGAGUUACAAAGGAACGAGGUAGACGAAGCGACCUGGAAAGGUCCGUCGUAGAGGGUAACAACCCCGUAGUCGAAACUUCGUUCUCUCUUGAAUGUAUCCUGAGUACGGCGGAACACGUGAAAUUCCGUCGGAAUCUGGGAGGACCAUCUCCCAAGGCUAAAUACUCCCUAAUGAUCGAUAGUGAACCAGUACCGUGAGGGAAAGGUGAAAAGCACCCCGGAAGGGGAGUGAAAGAGAUCCUGAAACCGUGUGCCUACAAAUAGUCAGAGCCCGUUAACGGGUGAUGGCGUGCCUUUUGUAGAAUGAACCGGCGAGUUACGAUCCCGUGCGAGGUUAAGCUGAAGAGGCGGAGCCGCAGCGAAAGCGAGUCUGAAUAGGGCGUUUAGUACGUGGUCGUAGACCCGAAACCAGGUGAUCUACCCAUGUCCAGGGUGAAGUUCAGGUAACACUGAAUGGAGGCCCGAACCCACGCACGUUGAAAAGUGCGGGGAUGAGGUGUGGGUAGCGGAGAAAUUCCAAUCGAACCUGGAGAUAGCUGGUUCUCCCCGAAAUAGCUUUAGGGCUAGCCUUAAGUGUAAGAGUCUUGGAGGUAGAGCACUGAUUGGACUAGGGGUCCUCAUCGGAUUACCGAAUUCAGUCAAACUCCGAAUGCCAAUGACUUAUCCUUAGGAGUCAGACUGCGAGUGAUAAGAUCCGUAGUCAAAAGGGAAACAGCCCAGACCGCCAGCUAAGGUCCCAAAGUGUGUAUUAAGUGGAAAAGGAUGUGGAGUUGCUUAGACAACUAGGAUGUUGGCUUAGAAGCAGCCACCAUUUAAAGAGUGCGUAAUAGCUCACUAGUCGAGUGACUCUGCGCCGAAAAUGUACCGGGGCUAAAUACACCACCGAAGCUGCGGAUUGAUACCGAAUGGUAUCAGUGGUAGGGGAGCGUUCUAAGGACAGUGAAGUCAGACCGUAAGGACUGGUGGAGUGCUUAGAAGUGAGAAUGCCGGUAUGAGUAGCGAAAGACGGGUGAGAAUCCCGUCCACCGAAUGCCUAAGGUUUCCUGAGGAAGGCUCGUCCGCUCAGGGUUAGUCAGGACCUAAGCCGAGGCCGACAGGCGUAGGCGAUGGACAACAGGUUGAUAUUCCUGUACCACCUCUUUAUCGUUUGAGCAAUGGAGGGACGCAGAAGGAUAGAAGAAGCGUGCGAUUGGUUGUGCACGUCCAAGCAGUUAGGCUGAUAAGUAGGCAAAUCCGCUUAUCGUGAAGGCUGAGCUGUGAUGGGGAAGCUCCUUAUGGAGCGAAGUCUUUGAUUCCCCGCUGCCAAGAAAAGCUUCUAGCGAGAUAAAAGGUGCCUGUACCGCAAACCGACACAGGUAGGCGAGGAGAGAAUCCUAAGGUGUGCGAGAGAACUCUGGUUAAGGAACUCGGCAAAAUGACCCCGUAACUUCGGGAGAAGGGGUGCUUUCUUAACGGAAAGCCGCAGUGAAUAGGCCCAAGCGACUGUUUAGCAAAAACACAGCUCUCUGCGAAGCCGUAAGGCGAAGUAUAGGGGGUGACACCUGCCCGGUGCUGGAAGGUUAAGGAGAGGGGUUAGCGUAAGCGAAGCUCUGAACUGAAGCCCCAGUAAACGGCGGCCGUAACUAUAACGGUCCUAAGGUAGCGAAAUUCCUUGUCGGGUAAGUUCCGACCCGCACGAAAGGUGUAACGAUUUGGGCACUGUCUCAACCAGAGACUCGGUGAAAUUAUAGUACCUGUGAAGAUGCAGGUUACCCGCGACAGGACGGAAAGACCCCGUGGAGCUUUACUGUAGCCUGAUAUUGAAUUUUGGUACAGUUUGUACAGGAUAGGCGGGAGCCAUUGAAACCGGAGCGCUAGCUUCGGUGGAGGCGCUGGUGGGAUACCGCCCUGACUGUAUUGAAAUUCUAACCUACGGGUCUUAUCGACCCGGGAGACAGUGUCAGGUGGGCAGUUUGACUGGGGCGGUCGCCUCCUAAAGUGUAACGGAGGCGCCCAAAGGUUCCCUCAGAAUGGUUGGAAAUCAUUCGUAGAGUGCAAAGGCAUAAGGGAGCUUGACUGCGAGACCUACAAGUCGAGCAGGGACGAAAGUCGGGCUUAGUGAUCCGGUGGUUCCGCAUGGAAGGGCCAUCGCUCAACGGAUAAAAGCUACCCCGGGGAUAACAGGCUUAUCUCCCCCAAGAGUCCACAUCGACGGGGAGGUUUGGCACCUCGAUGUCGGCUCAUCGCAUCCUGGGGCUGUAGUCGGUCCCAAGGGUUGGGCUGUUCGCCCAUUAAAGCGGUACGCGAGCUGGGUUCAGAACGUCGUGAGACAGUUCGGUCCCUAUCCGUCGUGGGCGUAGGAAAUUUGAGAGGAGCUGUCCUUAGUACGAGAGGACCGGGAUGGACGCACCGCUGGUGUACCAGUUGUUCUGCCAAGGGCAUAGCUGGGUAGCUAUGUGCGGAAGGGAUAAGUGCUGAAAGCAUCUAAGCAUGAAGCCCCCCUCAAGAUGAGAUUUCCCAUAGCGUAAGCUAGUAAGAUCCCUGAAAGAUGAUCAGGUUGAUAGGUUCGAGGUGGAAGCAUGGUGACAUGUGGAGCUGACGAAUACUAAUAGAUCGAGGACUUAACCAUAUAA